UACGUAGGGGGCGAGCGUUGUCCGGAUUCAUUGGGCGUAAAGAGCACGCAGGCGGUUUGGCAAGUCGGAUGUGAAAACCCGGAGCUCAACUCCGGGCGUGCAUCCGAUACUGCCCGACUAGAGGUAGGUAGGGGAGAUCGGAAUUCCUGGUGUAGCGGUGAAAUGCGCAGAUAUCAGGAGGAACACCGGUGGCGAAGGCGGAUCUCUGGGCCUUACCUGACGCUCAGGUGCGAAAGCUAGGGGAGCGACCGGG
rnacentral:rRNA from 1 species